rnacentral:rRNA from 1 species
GACGAACGCUGGCGGCGUGCCUAAUACAUGCAAGUCGAGCGGAAUGAUGAAGAAGCUUGCUUCUUCUGAUUUUAGCGGCGGACGGGCGAGUAACACGUGGGCAACCUACCUUGUAGAUUGGGAUAACUCCGGGAAACCGGGGCUAAUACCGAAUAAUCCAUUUUGCUUCAUGGCGAGAUGUUAAAAGGCGGCUUCGGCUGUCACUACGAGAUGGGCCCGCGGCGCAUUAGCUAGUUGGUAGGGUAAUGGCCUACCAAGGCGACGAUGCGUAGCCGACCUGAGAGGGUGAUCGGCCACACUGGGACUGAGACACGGCCCAGACUCCUACGGGAGGCAGCAGUAGGGAAUCUUCCACAAUGGACGAAAGUCCGAUGGAGCAACGCCGCGUGAGUGAAGAAGGUUUUCGGAUCGUAAAACUCUGUUGUAAGGGAAGAACACGUACGAGAGUAACUGCUCGUACCUUGACGGUACCUUAUUAGAAAGCCACGGCUAACUACGUG